UACGGCCACAUCCCGUUAAAACAUUGGUUCCCGUAUGAUCAAGGAAGUUACGCAACGUCGAGCCUGGUCAGUACCUAAAUGGGUGAUCGCUUGGGAAUACCAGAUACUGUAAG